AGACAAUCAGAGCCCACUUGUUACAUACCUUCUGGAAGUGGCAAAACUUCAAUGGCAGCUACAAUUGGUAUAGAGAGUGAUUUCCCAUAUGUCAAGAUUAUAUCUGCAGAAAGCAUGAUUGGUCUCGGUGAAGCAAGCAAAU